CUACGGGCUGCUGCAGUGAGGAAUAUUGCACAAUGGGGGGAACCCUGAUGCAGCAACGCCGCGUGGAGGAUGACGCAUUUCGGUGUGUAAACUCCUUUUAUAUGUCAAGAAAAUGACGGUAGCAUAUGAAUAAGCACCGGCUAACUCCGUGCCAGCAGCCGCGGUAAUACGGAGGGUGCAAGCGUUACUCGGAAUCACUGGGCGUAAAGGACGCGUAGGCGGGCUUGUAAGUCAGGUGUGAAAUCCUACAGCUUAACUGUAGAACUGCACUUGAAGCUACGAGCCUAGAGUAUGGGAGGGGCAGAUGGAAUUAGUGGUGUAGGGGUAAAAUCCGUAGAUAUCACUAGGAAUACCUAAAGCGAAGGCGAUCUGCUGGAACAUAACUGACGCUAAGGCGUGAAAGCGUGGGGAGCAAACAGGAUUAGAUACCCUAGUAGUC
rnacentral:rRNA from 1 species